rnacentral:rRNA from 1 species
GGCACUUAUACCGUGAAACUGCCGAAUGGCUCAUUAAAAUCAGUUAUCGUUUAUUUGAUAGUACCUUACUACUUGGAUAACCGUGGUAAUUCUAGAGCUAAUACAUGCUGAAAACCCCGACUUCGGGAGGGGUGUAUUUAUUAGAUAAAAAACCAAUGCCCUUCGGGGCUUCUUGGUGAUUCAUGAUAACUUCUCAGAUCGCAUGGCCUUGCGCCGGCGACGGUUCAUUCAAAUUUCUGCCCUAUCAACUUUCGAUGGUAAGGUAUUGGCUUACCAUGGUUUCAACGGGUAACGGGGAAUUAGGGUUCGAUUCCGGAGAGGGAGCCUGAGAAACGGCUACCACAUCCAAGGAAGGCAGCAGGCGCGCAAAUUACCCAAUCCCGACACGGGGAGGUAGUGACAAUAAAUACUGAUACAGGGCUCUUUUGGGUCUUGUAAUUGGAAUGAGUACAAUUUAAACCUCUUAACGAGGAACAAUUGGAGGGCAAGUCUGGUGCCAGCAGCCGCGGUAAUUCCAGCUCCAAUAGCGUAUAUUAAAGUUGUUGCAGUUAAAAAGCUCGUAGUUGAACCUUUGGCCUGGCUGGUAGGUCCGCCUCACCGCGUGUACUUGUCCGGCCGGGGCCUUUUCUUCUGGAGAACCGCAUGCCCUUCACUGGGGUGUGUUGGGGACCAGGACUUUUACUUUGAAAAAAUUAGAGUGUUCAAAGCAGGCCUUUGCUCGAAUACGUUUAGCAUGGAAUAAUAGAAUAGGACGUGCGGGUCCUA